rnacentral:rRNA from 1 species
UACGAAGGGUGCAAGCGUUACUCGGAAUUACUGGGCGUAAAGCGUGCGUAGGUGGUGGUUUAAGUCUGCUGUGAAAGCCCUGGGCUCAACCUGGGAAUUGCAGUGGAUACUGGAUCACUAGAGUGUGGUAGAGGGAUGCGGAAUUUCUGGUGUAGCAGUGAAAUGCGUAGAGAUCAGAAGGAACAUCCGUGGCGAAGGUGGCAUCCUGGGCCAACACUGACACUGAGGCACGAAAGCGUGGGGAGCAAACAGG